UAGGGAAUAUUGGUAAUGUGCGAAAGCGCGAACCAGCAACGCCGCGUGCACGAUGAAGGCCUUCGGGUCGUAAAGUGCUUUUAGAGAGGAUGAGGAAGGACAGUACUUUCUGAAUAAGCCUCGGCUAACUACGUGCCAGCAGCCGCGGUAAAACGUAGGAGGCAAGCGUUAUCCGGAUUUACUGGGCGUAAAGCGCAUGCAGGUGGUUUUGUAAGUUGGAUGUGAAAGCUCCUGGCUUAACUGGGAGAGGUCGUUCAAAACUACAAGACUUGAGCUUGGUAGAGGAAAAUGGAAUUCCGGCUGUAGUGGUGAAAUGCGUAGAUAUCCGGAGGCACACCAGUGGCGAAAGCGGUUUUCUGGACCAAUUCUGACACUCAGAUGCGAAAGCUAAGGUAGCAAACG
rnacentral:rRNA from 1 species